AUUGAACGCUGGCGGAAUGCUUUACACAUGCAAGUCGAACGGUAGAGGGGGCAACCCCUCGAGAGUGGCGAACGGGUGAGUAAUAUAUCGGAACGUGCCCAGUCGUGGGGGAUAACGUAGCGAAAGUUACGCUAAUACCGCAUACGAUCUAAGGAUGAAAGCGGGGGAUCGCAAGACCUCGCGCGAUUGGAGCGGCCGAUAUCAGAUUAGGUAGUUGGUGGGGUAAAGGCUCACCAAGCCAACGAUCUGUAGCUGGUCUGAGAGGACGACCAGCCACACUGGAACUGAGACACGGUCCAGACUCCUACGGGAGGCAGCAGUGGGGAAUUUUGGACAAUGGACGCAAGUCUGAUCCAGCCAUUCCGCGUGCAGGAUGAAGGCCCUCGGGUUGUAAACUGCUUUUGUACGGAACGAAAAGGUCUCUCCUAAUACGAGGGGCUCAUGACGGUACCGUAAGAAUAAGCACCGGCUAACUACGUGCCAGCCGCCGCAGUAA
rnacentral:rRNA from 1 species